UACGUAGGGGGCGAGCGUUGUCCGGAAUGACUGGGCAUAAAGGGUGUGUAGGCGGUUUGGCAAGUUAGAAGUGUAAUACCUAGAGCUUAACUCAGGUGCUGCUUCUAAAACUACCGAACUUGAGUGUAGGAGGGGAUAGCGGAAUUCCGUGUGUAGCGGUGGAAUGCGUAGAUAUACGGAGGAACAUCAGUGGCGAAGGCGGCUAUCUGGACUAUAACUGACGCUGAGGCACGAAAGCGUGGGGA
rnacentral:rRNA from 1 species